UUAUUAGGAAUGUAGUUGUUAGCUAAGAUUAUUAAUAGUUAUGAUCUUUAAAAUUAAAAAAUUUGGCGGUAUUUUAGUCUGUUCAGAGGAACCUGUUUUUUAAUUGAUAGUCCACGAUAAUUUUUACUUUAAUUUUAAAUUUAUAUAUCGUCGUUUAUAAAGAUUUUAGGAGGAUUUAAAUUUUUUAUAUUUUUUAUUAAAUUUUAAUUCAGAUCAAGGUGUAGUUUAUAUUAAAGUUUUAAUGGGUUACAUUAUAUUUAUAUGUGGUUUUUAGUUUUUGAAUUUAAGAUAAAAUGGAUUUGAUAGUAAAUUUUUUAUUUAUGAAAAUUGAUUUAGCUCUAAAAUAUG
rnacentral:rRNA from 1 species